CUGAGGUGCAGCAAGUGGCAGAAACAUCCGCAGAACAUUGUGAAAAAUAUCUGCUCUUCUGAGAGAGGAUGUGCUGCCUGGCCCCAAGGAAGCUCUCUGCACUCAAGGAACCAGCCACCAAGCUUUUUUGACAUUUUUACUUGGUGCACAAGAGGGAACUCUGCCUUGGACAGAAGUGCAUCAUUUUCACGUGAGUGGUUGUGGAGUCCAUCUUGUUGCCGUCAUCAUUUCAUCUGCUCUUUUUACACCCCUGGAUUUUGGGAAUGCUGACACUACUAAGGUUCACACCAAGGCCUCCCGUUUGAAAAAUGUAUGUGUGCUCCUGCACCUAAUGUAUAUGCAUAUUCAGUGUGACUGCAUAUGGAAAUGGAGCAUCCAUGCCAAGAGUUUUCCAGCCAAGAGGCUUUUUGCAUGUGUGAGUCUGGAGG